AUACAGAGGGUGCAAGCGUUAAUCGGAUUUACUGGGCGUAAAGCGCGCGUAGGUGGCUAAUUAAGUCAAAUGUGAAAUCACCGAGCUUAACUUGGGAAUUGCAUUCGAUACUGGUUAGCUAGAGUAUGGGAGAGGAUGGUAGAAUUCCAGGUGUAGCGGUGAAAUGCGUAGAGAUCUGGAGGAAUUCCGAUGGCGAAGGCAGCCAUCUGGCCUAAUACGGACACUGAGGUGCGAAAGCAUGGGGAGCAAACAGGAUUAGAUACCCUGGUAGUCCAUGCCGUAAACGAUGUCUACUAGCCGUUGGGGCCCUUGAGGCUUUAGUGGCGCAGCUAACGCGAUAAGUAGACCGCCUGGGGAGUACGGUCGCAAGACUAAAACUCAAAUGAAUUGACGGGG
rnacentral:rRNA from 1 species